CAGACGUCUACCUGGACAUGGAUCACCUGCUGAUGCUGUUGCUGCUGCUGUGGAGCUCAGGACUCCAGGCUGAAGAUAAACACCAAUCAACAGG